rnacentral:rRNA from 1 species
GAAUGCUGACAUGAGUAGCGAUAAAGGGAGUGAAAAGCUCCCUCGCCGAAAGCCCCAGGUUUCCUGCGCAACGUUCAUCGGCGCAGGGUGAGUCGGCCCCUAAGGCGAGGCUGAAAAGCGUAGUCGAUGGGAAACAGGUUAAUAUUCCUGUACCUCUUUGUAAUGCGAUGGGGGGACGGAGAAGGUUAGGUCAGCCGGGUGUUGGACGUCCCGGUUCAAGCGUGUAGGGAGAUCUUCCAGGCAAAUCCGGAAGGUCAAUCCUGAGGCGUGAUAACGAGUGGUCUUGUACCGCGAAGUGAUUGAUACCAUGCUUCCAAGAAAAGCCUCUAAGCUUCAGUUACCAGGGGACCGUACCGCAAACCGACACAGGUGGGCAGGAUGAAAAUUCUCAGGCGCUUGAGAGAACUCAGGAGAAGGAACUCGGCAAAUUUGCACCGUAACUUCGGGAAAAGGUGCGCCCUGAUAGGUUGUAGCCCCUCGCGGGUGAAGGCUGAAAGGGUUGCAGUGAAAUGGUGGCUGCGACUGUUUAAUAAAAACACAGCACUCUGCAAACACGAAAGUGGACGUAUAGGGUGUGACGCCUGCCCGGUGCCGGAAGGUUAAGUGAUGGGGUGCAAGCUCUUGAUCGAAGCCCCGGUAAACGGCGGCCGUAACUAUAACGGUCCUAAGGUAGCGAAAUUCCUUGUCGGGUAAGUUCCGACCUGCACGAAUGGCGUAACGAUGGCCACACUGUCUCCUCCUGAGACUCAGCGAAGUUGAAGUGGUUGUGAAGAUGCAAUCUCCCCGCGGUUAGACGGAAAGACCCCAUGAACCUUUACUGUAGCUUUGCAUUGGACUUUGAACCGACUUGUGUAGGAUAGGUGGGAGGCUGUGAAACCGGGACGCUAGUCCGGGUGGAGCCAACCUUGAAAUACCACCCUGGUUUGUUUGAGGUUCUAACCACGGCCCGUGAAUCCGGGUCUGGGACCGUGCAUGGUAGGCAGUUUGACUGGGGCGGUCUCCUCCUAAAGGGUAACGGAGGAGUACGAAGGUACGCUAGGUACGGUCGGAAAUCGUGCUAAUAGUGCAAUGGCAAAAGCGUGCUUGACUGCGAGACCCACACGUCGAGCAGGUACGAAAGUAGGUCAUAGUGAUCCGGUGGUUCUGUAUGGAAGGGCCAUCGCUCAACGGAUAAAAGGUACUCUGGGGAUAACAGGCUAAUACCGCCCAAGAGUUCAUAUCGACGGCGGUGUUUGGCACCUCGAUGUCGGCUCAUCACAUCCUGGGGCUGUAGUCGGUCCCAAGGGUAUGGCUGUUCGCCAUUUAAAGUGGUACGUGAGCUGGGUUUAAAACGUCGUGAGACAGUUUGGUCCCUAUCUGCCGUGGGCGCUGGAAAUUUGAAGGGGGCUGCUCCUAGUACGAGAGGACCGGAGUGGACGAACCUCUGGUGUACCGGUUAUGACGCCAGUCGUAUCGCCGGGUAGCUACGUUCGGAAGAGAUAAACGCUGAAAGCAUCUAAGCGUGAAACUCGCCUUAAGAUGAGAUUUCCCCGGGGACUUGAUCCCCCUGAAGGGUCGUGGUAGACCACCACGUUGAUAGGCUGGGUGUGGAAGCGCAGCAAUGCGUUCAGCUAACCAGUACUAAU